AUUCACUGUGUCGGUAACCGUAGUGAUGACUAGCAGUACUUCUUUUCUACAUAAAGAAAUAUUAAUCGCAUCAACGCGCAUAGUUUACUAUUGUUAUUCCAUCUUUUUUUCUAUUUUACUUUAAUCCUGAGCGAGACCAAUCGAUCGUUCAUUUCUUUACAGAGAGGAGGGACAAGAAACUUGAUGUCGUUGCAAAGAAAUAGCAGCAAAGAUGUAGUGUAUGAGAAAAUUAUAUUCAAGCUGCAUCAUUUGUAUAUGACUCAUUCAUCGAAUGCUUAAUCAAGUAUAAUGACAUACAUAUGUAAGAAAUGUUUCGAACACGUUUAUGAUCUGUGGUGUUCUCUACAUACACGAUAAGAAUAUCUUUCUUAUAAAUAAUUCCCCAAGUGCUCGGAUUUUGUUUGCGUUCGUUCACUAACGUCAUCGAGAAUAUCCUUAAAUUCUUCAUCUCACUUAAAUACCAAAUAAAGGAUAUCUCCGGCACUCGUCGCUGGUGCAGGCGAAGCUAGAUCUUAAAUUAGUUAAUCACGGUCUCAUCGUCGUUAUUUGGAGCAAACGUAAUAAUUAAUUCCUCACAACAGACUGAUUGACGAAGAUGGUCUCGAAUUUUCGUUGGCUGUCGAUGAUGACGAUAUGACUGCUUAGCUAGCAGAACGCCGGUCUCUGAUUUCAUGCAUUGCCUCAACAUGCAAUGCUAUGACGGUGAUGAGAACGAUCUUCCAAAUGAACUUCUAUAUGAGUCUUAUUUAGGCAUCAUCGAGAGCAUCUUUACGAUUUUUAUUCCACUCAAAUAUCAAAUAAAGGACAUUUCCGGCGGGAUUGCCUUCGUCGCUGAUGUGUUCGGAAGUCAGUAGCCCUCGAAUUAGCUAAUCUUGAUGUCAUCAUUAUCCUUUGAAGCAGCAAUCAAAAAAGGUAAUUAUCAUAUUCGACGUAUCGUAAUUGAAAGACUUAUGUCGAUAAACUGACCACUGCAGGAAAGAACGAAGGAUAUGACAUGUACAAGUUCACCUUUCCCAUGGCUUGGCCAAAGUAUAAAGUAGUCUUUCAAGUUAAAAGUAAGAUACAUCUUUGGAUCAGGAUCUAACUAAGCUAGAUAAGGCACAUAUGUAAGUUCAUUUGGAGGAACAUUCUCGUCACAGUCAUAGCAUUGCAUGUUGAGGCAAUGCAUGAAAUCAGAACCGACGUUCUGCCCACUAAGCAGUUCCACCAUCAGCAUCGAAAGGCAACGAAGACUCGAGAUCAUCCUCCGCAAUUAACCAAUUGCGAGGAAUUAACUAUUAUCUUCGUCACAAUUAACAACGAUAACAUUGUGGUUAACAAAUCUAAGGGCUAGUGACCUCCGUCAGCAUCAGCAAUCUUUCCAGAGAUAUCCUUUAUUUGGUAUUUAAAAGAAAAAAAUCCCAAGGUACUAUCGAUAAUGCCCGCACACAAACGCAAGAUAAAUCUAUGCACGUUGGGAAUUAUAUAUAACAGACAUUCUGGAGAAAUAAAAUUAAUUUAACGAUUUAUUUCUAAUUGAAUGAUUAAUCGAAUGAUUAUUUAAUAUCGAAUGGUCAUAUCUUAUCGUGUAUGUAGAGAACACCGGAGAUUUUGAACGUGUUCGGAAAACUUCCUAAGAUGCAUUAUUGCACUUCAUUAAGCAUUUUGAAUAAAUCAUAUACGAAUAAUGCAAUUUGAAUGCAAUUUUCUCGAAAACUAUAACACUACUGCUUCUUUCUCGCUACGAUAUCAAGUCUCUUGCCACCCAUUUCUCGGCAAAGAUAAAGAACGUACAUAUUAUGUCUUUUCUUCGUUUAUAGAAAGCCAAUAGAAGAAUUUUUGAAAAAAGUCCGACACAGUGAAUAGAGGGCGAACUGUAUGAGGUCUGCUUUUAUCUCGCGGCGAUAUCGAUCGAUGAGCGGUAGGGGUAAUUAUACAAUAAAAAUUAAGAAAAAGAUGCUUUUCAGAAAUGGCUAAUGUGAUAUCUUAAGCCCUGCUUGAUCGACUGAUUCGAAUUUUUUUCUACAUCUUCAAUACACAUAUGUCGUUAUAAUCUGUACGACAAUUAAAUUAUACAAAAUCUUCUUAAAAGCAAAAUUUCUUUAGAGAUUAUUAAUUGACACCAAGAUGAAACGGAACUGAAAGAUAUGAAGGGGAGAGAUAGAAUGAGAGAGAGUUAAAUAGGGAAUAACAAAAGAUAGGUAUCCAGAAAUAGGAAGGAAGAGGGAGUGAGAGAGAGAGAGAGGGAGAGAGAGCAUAAUUAUGCUUAUAAGCUUUGCGUUCAUAUUUUAUUUGUACGCACAAGAGAGAUAGGAACAGGAUGAGAUAGGGAAUAAACUGCGCAUUAUUAUUUCCCUUGUGCGUGAAAGAUAGAAAGGCAUAAAGAACAAUAUCUCUACUUAAAACAUAAAAUUAAAAAAUUUAAGACAGUAACACAAAAGCGAUAAUAAAAUCAAGAAGAAGAAUUAUUAAUAUGCUAUUUCAGAUAUAUACCUCGAUCGAAUUGAUUUCUUUGUCAUUUCUUAUUUUAGUUAUCAGAAAUCACUUGUUAUGUUUUUAGAAAACGACUGAACGGAGAUAGAAUGAAACAAUGUUUUUAUAUAAAUAAGUUAUUUUCAAUAUUUUUCGUAUGUAAUACCUAACCUAUAAUUGUCUAGAUAUAAUUUUUUUAACUUCAAAUUUCGCCGAAACAGAACUCCGGAACAUGGUGAAUUAAAGUUGGGAAACUAAAUUAAAUUAAAGUAAAGUAAAUCGUCUAAAGAAGCGUGUGUUUGUUCUAUUGUUUUAAUACAUCAAAUAUAAGAAAAAUAAAAAUCCGAAAGCAUU